rnacentral:rRNA from 1 species
AACAAGCCCUAGCCCACACANACCCCAUUACACCUAACAAAAACACAAUCNACCUCAAACAAAACAUUUACCCCUAUAAAAGUAUAGGAGAUAGAAAUUCUUAGUUGGAGCUAUAGAGCCAGUACCGUAAGGGAAAGAUGAAAGAAACCACUUACAGUUUAACAAAGCAAAGACUAAACCUUUUACCUUUUGCAUAAUGAGUUAACUAGAAACAACUUUACAAAAAGAAUUUAAGCCAAGUACCCCGAAACCAGACGAGCUACUUAUGAGCAGCUAUAAGAGCUAAUCCGUCUAUGUAGCAAAAUAGUGGAAUGANUUAUAAGUAGAGGUGAAAAGCCUACCGAGCCUGGUGAUAGCUGGUUAUCCAGAUCAGAAUNUNAGUUCAACUCUAAAUUUACUUUAUGCACCCNNUANNAUCUAAACGUAAAUUUAGUUGUUAAUCUAAAGAGGGACAGCUCUUUAGACACAGGAAAUAACCUUUAUUAGAGAGUAAAAUCCAAAACCCCCAUNAGUUGGCCUAAAAGCAGCCAUCAAUUAAAAAAGCGUUCAAGCUUAACCUNAAUACUUUAACUUAAUACCAAUAUUUUUANNCACCUCCUAAUUCUNAUACUGGAUUAAUCNAUANACAACCUAUAGAAGCAAUAAUGUUAAUAUGAGUAACAAGAAAANNUUUUCUCCCUGCAUAAGCUUAUAUCAACCCGAAUAACUCACUGAUAGUUAACAAACCUAUAUUUUCAUCCAACAAAUUCNAACUAAUAUUACAUAUAAUGUUAAUCCAACACAGGCAUGCACNUCAAGGGAAAGAUUAAACAAAGUAAAAGGAACUCGGCAAACAUUAACCCCGCCUGUUUACCAAAAACAUCACCUCUAGCAUAAAUAGUAUUAGAGGCACUGCCUGCCCAGUGACAUAUGUUUAACGGCCGCGGUAUCCUGACCGUGCAAAGGUAGCAUAAUCAUUUGUUCCUUAAAUAGGGACUUGUAUGAAUGGCUAAACGAGGGUUUAUCUGUCUCUUACUUUUAAUCAGUGAAAUUGACCUUCCCGUGAAGAGGCGGGAAUAUAUAAAUAAGACGAGAAGACCCUGUGGAGCUUAAAUUUAUUAGCCCAAGCACUACUCACUUCNNAACUCUACAAGAGAUAAAACCACUGCUCCUGGACUAAAAAUUUUGGUUGGGGUGACCUCGGAGUACAAUUCAACCUCCGAAUGAUCUUAAUCUAGACUAUCAACUUGUCUAAAUUUCAACUCAUAAAUUGACCCAAACUAUUGAUCAACGGAACAAGUUACCCCAGGGAUAACAGCGCAAUCCUACCCGAGAGUCCAUAUCGACAGUAGGGUUUACGACCUCGAUGUUGGAUCAGGACAUCCAAAUGGUGCAACCGCUAUUAAUGGUUCGUUUGUUCAACGAUUAAAGUCCUACGUGAUCUGAGUUCAGACCGGAGAAAUCCAGGUCGGUUUCUAUCUAUUANNNAAAGUUUCUCCCAGUACGAAAGGACAAGAGCAACAAGGCCCAUUCUCAUANUAUGCCUUNUNACNAAUNGAUGAUAUAAUCUUAAUCUAAUUAAUNAAUUANCAUAAACCUCGCCCUAGAACAGGGCUG